AGAAGAUGGCAUCCCAAACACCAGCAGUCUACUAGGAGGAUGCAGUUCUACUUACCUCCAAAUUGAGAGCACCCAGUGUCUUCAAAUUCUCUGCUUCUGAGCCCUGGGACACAGAAGUGCUCUUGCAUCUUGCUGAUGCUUUCCUAACGGCUCAGCAGUAAAGAAUCUGCCCGCAAUGCAAGAGACUUGGGUUCGAUCCCUCGAUCGAGAAGAUCCCCUAGAGAAGGAA